GCCAGAUCCCGGAGUCGGACGCUUACGGUCGACCAGACGACUUCGUCUGCCACCAUCCAGGUAACGUUUAAGAUGUUUUUAACAUAUUUAACGAAUAACGCGCUUAACCGAUAUUAAAUUACGCUUCAGUUUAUCGUAUUUCGUAAUAAAAUCGAUACGUUUAACUUUUUAAAUCCAAACAGAACAAACGGCUGAAGGGGAGACCUAAGCCAUUUUAUAAAAUUCGCGUUAUUAACGCGAGAUGACGUCAUUGUAUUUUUUAAAAGCGUUUCACGCGCAUUUUCUACCACGCUCGGUGGCAUUCUUACAGGAAAUAAAAGCGACUUUGGAAAAUAAAAAACGAAGCGAUUUAAGGUGUAAGAAAACGACGAUUCGACGCGGAUUGAUGGCGAUUUUAAAGACUAAGCUAAAUCGCGCAUUAGCAAAUCUGUCCAAACCAGAGCCCCUUAGUAAUCUCACAUAUUGUUAAAGGGGCGUAAAAAAAACGUGUCCAACGGAAUGCGCUACUUCACUCGGUUUUUAAUUAAUCAAAACUGACAAUCCGAUAAGUUUACAUUUAAACCAUCCAUAAUUUCCAUCAUACCUGGAAUUUUUUAAUCUUUCAUUCUUAAGUGUUGCCAUCCGGAUGACAAAAUCCGUGUAAAAUUAAUUUUUUUUUUUUUUUGAUAAAUUGGCAAAAAUUCCGAAUUUUUUUGAACUGCU
rnacentral:lncRNA from 1 species